UGCAAGUCGAGCGGAACGAUGGUAGCUUGCUACCAGGCGUCGAGCGGCGGACGGGUGAGUAAUACUUAGGAAUCUACCUAGUAGUGGGGGAUAGCACGGGGAAACUCGUAUUAAUACCGCAUACGACCUACGGGAGAAAGGGGGCAGUUUACUGCUCUCGCUAUUAGAUGAGCCUAAGUCGGAUUAGCUAGAUGGUGGGGUAAAGGCCUACCAUGGCGACGAUCUGUAGCUGGUCUGAGAGGAUGAUCAGCCACACCGGGACUGAGACACGGCCCGGACUCCUACGGGAGGCAGCAGUGGGGAAUAUUGGACAAUGGGGGAAACCCUGAUCCAGCCAUGCCGCGUGUGUGAAGAAGGCCUUUUGGUUGUAAAGCACUUUAAGCAGUGAAGAAGACUCUUCGGUUAAUACCCGGAGACGAUGACAUUAGCUGCAGAAUAAGCACCGGCUAACUCUGUGCCAGCAGCCGCGGUAAUACAGAGGGUGCAAGCGUUAAUCGGAAUUACUGGGCGUAAAGCGAGCGUAGGUGGCUUGAUAAGUCAGAUGUGAAAUCCCCGGGCUUAACCUGGGAACUGCAUCUGAAACUGUUAGGCUAGAGUAGGUGAGAGGGAAGUAGAAUUUCAGGUGUAGCGGUGAAAUGCGUAGAGAUCUGAAGGAAUACCGAUGGCGAAGGCAGCUUCCUGGCAUCAUACUGACACUGAGGCUCGAAAGCGUGGGUAGCAAACAGGAUUAGAUACCCUGGUAGUCCACGCCGUAAACGAUGUCUACUAGUCGUUGGGUCCCUUGAGGACUUAGUGACGCAGCUAACGCAAUAAGUAGACCGCCUGGGGAGUACGGCCGCAAGGUUAAAACUCAAAUGAAUUGACGGGGGCCCGCACAAGCGGUGGAGCAUGUGGUUUAAUUCGAUGCAACGCGAAGAACCUUACCUGGUCUUGACAUAUCUAGAAUCCUGCAGAGAUGCGGGAGUGCCUUCGGGAUUAAGAAUACA
rnacentral:rRNA from 1 species